rnacentral:rRNA from 1 species
UACGUAGGGUGCGAGCGUUGUCCGGAAUUAUUGGGCGUAAAGGGCUCGUAGGCGGUUUGUCGCGUCGGGAGUGAAAACCCAGGGCUUAACCCUGGGCUGGCUUCCGAUACGGGCAGACUAGAGGUAUGCAGGGGAGAACGGAAUUCCUGGUGUAGCGGUGAAAUGCGCAGAUAUCAGGAGGAACACCGAUGGCGAAGGCAGGUCUCUGGGCCAUAACUGACGCUGAGAAGCGAAAGCAUGGGGAGCGAACAGG